rnacentral:rRNA from 1 species
GGGGGGAUAACAGUCCGAAAGGAUUGCUAAUACCGCAUACGUCGGCGCAAGCCGGGAAAGCAGCCCUCUUCAUGAAAGGUUGCACUGAGAGAUGAGUCCGCGUCCCAUCAGCUAGUUGGUAGGGUAAUGGCCUACCAAGGCAAAGACGGGUAGCUGGUCUGAGAGGAUGAUCAGCCACACUGGAACUGAGACACGGUCCAGACUCCUACGGGAGGCAGCAGUGGGGAAUAUUGGGCAAUGGGCGCAAGCCUGACCCAGCCACGCCGCGUGAGUGAUGAAGGCCUUCGGGUCGUAAAGCUCUGUGGGGAGGGACGAAAAAACGCUGGCCAACAUCCAGCGGACUGACGGUACCUCCUUAGCAAGCACCGGCUAACUCUGUGCCAGCAGCCGCGGUAA